GAUCAUGCUCAGGAUGAACGCUAGCGACAGGCCUAACACAUGCAAGUCGAGGGGCAGCGGAGAGGUAGCAAUACCUUUGCCGGCGACCGGCGCACGGGUGAGUAACACGUAUGCAAUCCACCUGUAACAGGGGGAUAACCCGGAGAAAUCCGGACUAAUACCCCAUAAUAUGGGCGUUCCGCAUGGAGAGCUCAUUAAAGAGAGCAAUUUUGGUUACAGACGAGCAUGCGCUCCA
rnacentral:rRNA from 1 species